GACGAACGCUGGCGGCGUGCUUAACACAUGCCAGUCGUACGGUAAGGCCCUUUCGGGGGUACACGAGUGGCGAACGGGUGAGUAACACGUGAGUAACCUGCCCACAACUUUGGGAUAACGCUAGGAAACUGGUGCUAAUACUGGAUAUGUGCUCCUGCUGCAUGGUGGGGGUUGGAAAGCUCCGGCGGUUGUGGAUGGACUCGCGGCCUAUCAGCUUGUUGGUGGGGGAGUGGCCUACCAAGGCGGCGACGGGUAGCCGGCCUGAGAGGGUGACCGGCCACAUUGGGACUGAGAGACGGCCCAGACGCCUACGGUAGGCAGCAGUGGGGAAUAUUGCACAAGGGGCGCAAGCCGGAUGCAGCAGCGCCGCGUGCGGGAUGACGGCCUUCUGGUUGUAAACCGCUUUCAGCAGGGACGAAGCUUUUUGUGACGGUACCUUCAGAAGAAGCACCGGCUAACUACGUG
rnacentral:rRNA from 1 species